AGUGCUGCAUGGCUGUCGUCAGCUCGUGUCGUGAGAUGUUGGUUAAGUCCCGCAACGAGCGCAACCCCUACGUUUAGCUGCUAACGCGUGAAGGCGAGCACUCUAGACGAACUGCCGUUGACAAAACGGAGGAAGGUGGGAUGACGUCAAAUCAUCAUGCCCCUUAUGUUCUGGGCUACACACGUGCUACAAUGGCCGGUACAGACGGACGCAAAGCCGCGAGGCGGAGCAAAUCCGAAAAAGCCGGUCUCAGUUCGGAUUGCAGGCUGCAAUUCGCCUGCAUGAAGUCGGAAUCGCUAGUAAUCGCAGGUCAGCAUACUGCGGUGAAUACGUUCCCGGGCCUU
rnacentral:rRNA from 1 species